rnacentral:rRNA from 1 species
GACGAACGCUGGCGGCGUGCUUAACACAUGCAAGUCGAACGGAAAGGCCCUGCUUUUGUGGGGUGCUCGAGUGGCGAACGGGUGAGUAACACGUGAGUAACCUGCCCUUGACUUUGGGAUAACUUCAGGAAACUGGGGCUAAUACCGGAUAGGAGCUCCUGCUGCAUGGUGGGGGUUGGAAAGUUUCGGCGGUUGGGGAUGGACUCGCGGCUUAUCAGCUUGUUGGUGGGGUAGUGGCUUACCAAGGCUUUGACGGGUAGCCGGCCUGAGAGGGUGACCGGCCACAUUGGGACUGAGAUACGGCCCGGACUCCUACGGGAGGCAGCAGUGGGGAAUAUUGCACAAUGGGCGGAAGCCGGAUGCAGCAACGCCGCGUGCGGGAUGACGGCCUUCGGGUUGUAAACCGCUUUCGCCUGUGACGAAGCGUGAGUGACGGUAAUGGGUAAAGAAGCACCGGCUAACUACGUG